ensembl:lncRNA
CUCUCACAGUUCUGGAAGCCAGAAGUCCCAAAUCAAGGUGUUGGCCGGGCCACGCUGCCUCCAAAGGCUCUAGGGGAAGAGACUUCCUUGACUCUUCCAGCUUCUGGUGGCUCCUGCCGUUCCUUUGCUUGUAGAAGCAUAACUCCAAUCUCUGCCUCCAUCUCCAUGUGGUCUUCUCUCUAUCUCUCUGCAUCUUCUCCUCUUCUUAUUGGCUUUAGGGUCCACCUUAAUCCAAUAUGAUAUCAUCUUACCAUUAACUAGUUGUGUCUGCAAUGGCUCUAUUUCUAAAUAAGGUCACAUUUAAGAUUUCAAGUUGACGUGAAUUUGAGGGGGGACAGUAUUUAACCCACUAGACAUAGGGAUUAUUACAUAUCAUUAUUUCCUUUGCAUCAGUGAGAAAGCUGAGGUCUAGGAGGGGAGACAACUUGCCCUGUCACUCAACUGCCCACUGGCAGAGCUAGGUUGUGGACUCGGCUCAGUGUUAUGUCAAUUCCAUGCUUUUUCUACUUGACCAUGCUGCUUCUAGAAAACCAGUCUGCAAACUCAAAACUAGAAAGUAAUGACAUCAAUGGUCAUCCACCUAUUGGCUCCCGGAUUAUACCAGCAGAGGUGAAUGAUCAGAGGGUGGCUUUGAGGUUUGUUUUUCAUUUCAGAUACGGUGUUGGAUCCAAGAGGAUGAUGAGCUCAUCACUGUUUUGUAAAUGGAAGCAGCCAUGCCACGUACUACAGUUUUGCCCAACUAGGACAUAACUAUCCAACCAUCACACAAGGACUGGAACGCCAUGGACUGCUCCGCCCUGAGGCCCCAGUUCUAACUGGCCAGGUGAACUUAAGCCUUGGGGCAGUAUUCUGGAGGAAACCCAGGCAGCAUGGAAGAUUUCUUCCCCACUGAGGAAAGUGCCUAUGUCUGAAUCUAUAAGUUUAAUCCACCGUUCUGCCUCACCGAUGGAUUUUACCUAUUGUGCCCCUGAAAGGAAAGGAACACAGUGAAACUGGCUGUGGGCACACUUGAUAAAUCAUUGUUGGAACUGGAGGGAAUUUCGUUGUGGAGGUAACAAGCGACCACAGCCUGCCUCGGUGCCCAGCCCAGAUAAAGUGUGGCUGAGACUCAGAAUUGUUUACUGUUCAGUGCUGCGGACACAUUUCCUGUUGGCCCUGCAGGGAAAUGACAGAUGCCCAUGGUUGUGCACCAGGAUUUGGUCUGCCAGGGGAGCUUGUUUAGAGGGGAUCAGACUAUGGAGGGAAGGCCAUCGUGAGGGUGAGGAGGAGCAGAUAAGGUUUCUGUAUGCAGAAUCCCAGACGACGAUGCAGGGGCAGGAGAAUGGACCAGAUCACCUUGGCAAGCCUUCCCAGUUCCAAUAGCAAACAUGUAACGAGCCUCUCAUGUGCCAGCCCCUGUAUCCCCAGCUGGAGGCAUGCGGAAAAAUGAGAAACAGCUCCUGUCUUCGAGGUCCCCAUUUAGUGCAGCAGACAGCCUGGUAACCAUCAAUGCAACAAAGCAGAGAAGAGGCCUCUCUUGCCCAUGGAAGGAGGAGCACAUUAUUAAGGAGCAGGUUCUCUGGAACCCAACAGCCUGGAUUCAAAUCCUACCAGGGCCACUCCCUAGUUGUGUGACCUUGGGCAAGUUAUCUGACCUCACUGAGCCUGAGCAGCCUCAUCUGUAAAAUGCGGACAAUAAUAGUACCUAGCUUGUGGAGUUGUUAGAAGAUUACAAAAGUAUUUUUAAAGUGCUUGGCACAUCCGAGGCACUUUGCUGUUAAAUUGCAAAUAAUCCUCAGGGAAUCUGUUUUCAUUAUGUCUGAGCACCUUUUCCAAUCUGAAAAUAAAGGCACUGAAUAUAUAAGCAGAGCUCUCUUGAUUUAUAAGCAGAUGUUCGUGAAAAGUCUUUUGGAAGGUGGAAACAUUAAACCAUGUUUGUGUUUAACA